UCACUAGUUGACUUUUUCAACCUUUGAUAAAUAAUAUAUAUACAAGUACAAUUUUAUGUGUAUGAUAUUAUACAAAUAAUCAUUGUUACAAGAAAUUAAAAUUACCAAAUAUAUGGAAAUUUAUAUGACUUUAUAAUUACAGUACAAAAAAAUUCAACCUUUAGCUCAGAACUAAAACAUAUGACAAUAAUUUGUUGCUUACAACAAAUUUAAGUUGUCCUUACCAUUUUUGCAUGCAGUUACUCAUAGCAAUAUAGAUGUAUUAAAUACUUUUGAUAGAACAAAUAGAUUAUGGAUUGAAUUUUUGGCCUCUACAAAUCCUUGGUGUGCAUUUGAUAUUUUCCAAUAUUCAGCUUAUGGUAUAAAAUUGUUCGCAGGUUGCCAGGAUACUCCUAUUUAUAUACCUUAUAUACCAUUUCUACUUGCAUUAUGAUCAGAUCAAGCAAAUGCACAACUUUGGGAAACUUUUGGUUCUAAUUGGCCCGAUAGUGAUGUCUGCCAUGAACUUAAUGUGGUUUUGGAAGAUAAUCAAUGGACUGAAGAAGGCAUUAGCAAACAGGCAUUAGCAAAAUUCCAACCAGAGAUCGAACAAAGCAGAAAUUUAGGAGUAUCUCGAUUAGUGUGAACUCAGGCAUGUUAUCCUGUGCACUUGCACGUCUGUUAAUGGUUUUUUCAUAUUUUUUUUAGUAUAACUAGUUCUAGUUGAGACUCAAAUUUGAGUAAUCAAAGCUUUAGAGACAAUUAUAAUAUCACUGAAUUAAAGUUUAUUAGUGAUUUUUCACAACCUUUAAUUGGCAUAUGAUAUUUUGCUUUGGAUUGAUUCGUACCUGUAA